rnacentral:rRNA from 1 species
UACAGAGGGUGCGAGCGUUAAUCGGAAUUACUGGGCGUAAAGCGUGCGUAGACGGUUAUUUAAGUCGGGUGUGAAAGCCCCGGGCUCAACCUGGGAAUUGCAUUCGAGACUGAAUAGCUAGGGUACGGUAGAGGGAAGCGGAAUUUCCGGUGUAGCGGUGAAAUGCGUAGAUAUCGGGAGGAGCACCGGUGGCGAAGGCGGCCUCCUGGACCGAGAUUGACGCUGAGGAGCGAAAGCUAGGGGAGCAAACGGG